GCGGACGAUGGGAGCUUGCUCCCUGAAGUCAGCGGCGGACGGGUGAGUAACACGUGGGCAACCUGCCUGUAAGACUGGGAUAACUCCGGGAAACCGGGGCUAAUACCGGAUAAUUCUUUCCCUCACAUGAGGGAAAGCUGAAAGAUGGUUUCGGCUAUCACUUACAGAUGGGCCCGCGGCGCAUUAGCUAGUUGGUGAGGUAACGGCUCACCAAGGCAACGAUGCGUAGCCGACCUGAGAGGGUGAUCGGCCACACUGGGACUGAGACACGGCCCAGACUCCUACGGGAGGCAGCAGUAGGGAAUCUUCCGCAAUGGACGAAAGUCUGACGGAGCAACGCCGCGUGAGUGAUGAAGGUUUUCGGAUCGUAAAACUCUGUUGUUAGGGAAGAACAAGUACCGGAGUAACUGCCGGUACCUUGACGGUACCUAACCAGAAAGCCACGGCUAACUACGUGCCAGCAGCCGCGGUAAUACGUAGGUGGCAAGCGUUGUCCGGAAUUAUUGGGCGUAAAGCGCGCGCAGGCGGUUCCUUAAGUCUGAUGUGAAAGCCCCCGGCUCAACCGGGGAGGGUCAUUGGAAACUGGGGAACUU
rnacentral:rRNA from 1 species